UACGUAGGGGGCAAGCGUUGUCCGGAUUUAUUGGGCGUAAAGAGCGUGUAGGCGGCUUUGCAAGUCCGUUGUGGAAACUCGAGGCUCAACCUCGAGACGCCGGUGGAAACUGCAAAGCUAGAGUCCGGAAGAGGAGAGUGGAAUUCCUGGUGUAGCGGUGAAAUGCGCAGAUAUCAGGAAGAACACCCGUGGCGAAGGCGGCUCUCUGGGACGGUACUGACGCUGAGACGCGAAAGCGUGGGGAGCGAACAGG
rnacentral:rRNA from 1 species